rnacentral:piRNA from 1 species
UACCUGUGGAGUGCAUGCACCAGCCA